rnacentral:rRNA from 1 species
UACGUAGGGGGCAAGCGUUGUCCGGAAUUAUUGGGCGUAAAGCGCGCGCAGGCGGUUCUUUAAGUCUGGUGUUUAAACCCGAGGCUCAACUUCGGGUCGCACUGGAAACUGGGGGACUUGAGUGCAGAAGAGGAGAGUGGAAUUCCACGUGUAGCGGUGAAAUGCGUAGAGAUGUGGAGGAACACCAGUGGCGAAGGCGGCUUUCUGGUCUGUAACUGACGCUGAGGCGCGAAAGCGUGGGGAGCAAACAGG